rnacentral:lncRNA from 1 species
UGGCCACAUGAGGGCAUGUGUGGGGGCAUGGCUUCCUUCCGUGCGUCGGAUGGAGGGCGCGGCGGGUGAGAAGCGUGGGGUGAGAAGCCUGGCAUCAAACAUUGAAGAUCAGCCGUUGGAUGAGUUUUGCUGUUUAUUAGCCUUUAAUUUUAAUAGAGAUAAAAUUAUGUGUGCAUUUUUUGUGUACAUAAUGGUUGAAGGUCCUCAGCGGG